GAUGAACGCUGGCGGCGUGCCUAAUACAUGCAAGUCGAGCGAACAGACGAGGAUCUUGCUCCGCUGACGUUAGCGGCGGACGGGUGAGUCACACGUGGAUAACCUACCUCUAAGACUUGGAUCACUUCGGGAAACCGUAGCUAAUACCGGAUAAUAUAUUGAACCGCAUGGUUCAAUAGUGAAAGACGGGUUUUCUGUCACUUAUCGAUGGAUCCGCGCCGCAUUAGCUAGUUGGUAAGGUAACGCCUUACCAAGGCAACGAUGCGUAGCCGACGUGAGAGGGUGAUCGGCCACACUGGAACUGAGACACGGUCCAGACUCCUACGGGAGGCAGCAGUAGGGAAUCUUCCGCAAUGGGCGAAAGCCUGACGGAGCAACGCCGCGUGAGUGAUGAAGGUCUUCGGAUCGUAAAACUCUGUUAUUGGGGAAGAACAAAUGUGUAAGUAAAUAUGGACGUAUUGACGGUACCUAAUGAGAAAGCACCGGCUAACUACGUG
rnacentral:rRNA from 1 species